UGGGGAAUCUUCCGCAAUGGACGAAAGUCUGACGGAGCAACGCCGCGUGAACGAUGACGGCCUUCGGUUGUAAGUUCUGUUAUACGGGACGAAUGGCGUAGCGGUCAAUACCCGUUACGAGUGACGGUACCGUAAGAGAAAGCCACGGCUAACUACGUGCCAGCAGCCGCGGUAAUACGUAGGUGGCAAGCGUUGUCCGGAAUUAUUGGGUUUAAAGGGUGCGCAGGCGGCGCGCCAAGUCAGCGGUCAAAGUUCCGGGCUCAACCCUGUGUCGCCGUUGAAACUGGCGUGCUCGAGUGCGUGCGAGGAAGGCGGAAUGCGUUGUGUAGCGGUGAAAUGCAUAGAUAUGACGCAGAACUCCGAUUGCGAAGGCAGCUUUCCAGCGCGCUACUGACGCUGAGGCACGAAAGCGUGGGGAUCGAACAGGAUUAGAUACCCUGGUAGU
rnacentral:rRNA from 1 species